UCAGUGGUAUAGUUAAGUUAGUAUUCUGUGCAUUCUCUGUGACGAUGGUGUUAGUAUCAGAGUUGUAAAUUGACAUCUUCCUCGUGAACAUGGAUCACAAAGCUCUUGGAAUGAAGAAAAACCAUUAUGAAAGAAUUAGAUUGUAAGAAAAAUUAAAUAUGGAAUGACUUUAACAUUUGGCCACUACAACUGACGCAACAAAGAAGAAUCUUCUGUUGACUUGUAGCUAACAGUAGAUUCCAUACAUGGGUAAUUGCUGCUGUCCAAAACCUGACACCUCCGUUGGCGAGGAACCGUUCUUGAAAGAGGGGAAUUGUGGUAUGAUCUGUUCUUAACAGUUCCUCCAAACAGGCCCUGCGCACAAAAAUUAAUAAUUGGAAUAGCAAUUUAAUCACCCAGACUCAAAAUAUGGACUGUGUAGCACAACCUAUCAAAAUUUCAAGUAAUUUGGUGCACGCUCUGGCAAACUCAAUGUCUUCAAAACUUGCAUUAUUUCGAGUUUGUGCAUUUCAAACAAAGUUUGUUCUAUCAUAUCAAGUUCAAUUUAUGCAUUAGCGGGAAAUUGCAUAAAUUACAAUAUGAAAUUAUCAACUCCAAUUCUCAAAAGUGUAUUUGUUGUAUAAAGCAAGGUAUGAAAUGCAAAAACGCAAAAAUCCAUGUUUUCAGCGCGUGCGCCAAAAGUUUGAGAUUACGAUAGAGCUUUUUUUUAUUUGAUCAUUUUUUUCGAACGGUCUGUUUUGAAGGAUUUUUAACAAUGUAAAAAAUCUUGCAUUUUCCGAAUUUUAAGUGCCUGCCAUGUCAAAGAACGUUAAAAUACUUAAAAUUAGUAAAGGUUUUUGGUUAUU